rnacentral:rRNA from 1 species
CAAUAGCGUAUAUUAAAGUUGUUGCAGUUAAAAAGCUCGUAGUUGGAUCUCGGGUCCGGGCUCGCGGUCCACCUCGCGGUGGUUACUGCCCGUCCCGACCUACCUACCGGUUUUCCCUUGGUGCUCUUAACUGAGUGUCUCGGGUGGCCGGAACGUUUACUUUGAAAAAAUUAGAGUGUUCAAAGCAGGCGCUUCGCCUGAAUAAUGUUGCAUGGAAUAAUGGAAUAGGACCUCGGUUCUAUUUUGUUGGUUUUCGGAACUUGAGGUAAUGAUUAAGAGGGACAGACGGGGGCAUUCGUAUGAUGGUGUUAGAGGUGAAAUUCUUGGAUCGCCGUCAGACGAACUACUGCGAAAGCAUUUGCCAAGAAUGUUUUCAUUAAUCAAGAACGAAAGUCAGAGGUUCGAAGACGAUCAGAUACCGUCCUAGUUCUGACCAUAAACGAUGCCGACUAGCGAUCCGCUGGAGUUGUUUCAAUGACCCAGCGGGCAGCUUCCGGGAAACCAAAGUCUUUGGGUUCCGGGGGAAGUAUGGUUGCAAAGCUGAAACUUAAAGGAAUUGACGGAAGG